UACAGAGGUCCCGAGCGUUGUUCGGAUUUAUUGGGCGUAAAGGGUGCGUAGGCGGCGGAGUAAGUUGGGUGUGAAAUCCCGGGCUUAACCUCGGAAUUGCAUUCAAUACUGCUUCGCUUGAGUACUGGAGAGGAGGCUGGAAUUACGGUGUAGCAGUGAAAUGCGUAGAUAUCGUAAGGAAGGCCGGUGGCGAAAGCGAGCCUCUGGACAGUUACUGACGCUGAUGCACGAAGGCCAGGGAGCAAACGGG
rnacentral:rRNA from 1 species